GCCUCCUUAGCUCAGUGGUAGUAAGUAUCUCUCUGCCUCAAGAUAAAGGCUCAUAUCUAACCUUGAAAAUAGGAGCGCAUCACUAGUAAUGAUGAGGUCGCGAGUUCAAUUCUCUCAGGAGGCA